rnacentral:lncRNA from 1 species
GUAGUAUUCAGAGAUUUUUUUUAUGUCAACUUUUUGUUUUAUUAAACGAAACCCAAAGAGCAAUUUCCAAACUGAUUCAACUAUAAUAUCCGGCCCAAAACAAAGCCCUUAUAAAACAAUCAAAUAAAGAUGAAAAUAUGGUUGACACAUGGUCAAUACGUGGCCGUGUUUUCUCAAUCGAGAAAGAAGAAGGCGGUGCCAGAACCUUCGCCGGAAAACCAACAAUGUCCAUCUCAAACUUACUUGAAUAUGCUUGCAUGUUCUUUCACCUUUAAUCGCCGCUAAUCGAAAAUCUUCUUCUCGAAUUGUUAGAUUUUACCAAGGGAAGAGUUUUAGAAGAAAAUGAUAGAAAAUUGUUGGAAUACUAAUCCUUAUGGCAGCCCCAACUCAUCUAGAAUCUGUCCUGAACCUCUGAAGCUUGAUCUAAACCUUGUUUGUUGAUCUUCGUGGAGACUGCGCCUGACACGAGCGAAGCUUGAUACCACCUCUGAAUCAAGAUCUAAGCUUCUCUAACAAAGAGGAAAUUCAACCUCUCGAACGGUUUAAAAAUUAACCUCAUACUUUCGAUGUGUGGAGGGAACCAUUGCAAAUUAACGCAGAAGGAGAAGAACUCUUCCAUAGCUUUAUUUAUGUUCAACAUGUCAGAGAAAGAUGAGAGUGAUAAUCAAGCUCUGGUCUUGUUGAACUUUACACUUCAAAAUCGCCGACGCGAAACAAGAGAUCCCCUAUGCAAAUAGAAAAUCGCCGAGGCAAAUAAAAGAGAUUGGUUUGUUGACCGAAUUAUAUUACAAACAAAAGUUUUAGAUCUGCAUCCCUUUAAAAGAUGUAUUGUUUGGUAAGAGGGAGAAGAGAGAGUUCUCUCUCUAAGGAAGAGAGAGACUCAUUCAGAGAUUUUCUUUUUAAGUAUUUAUCAAACUUUAUAUAAUUUUUAUAUUGCUUAACAACAUAAACAUUUAGCUAGUCUAGUGGUCUUGGUGGUCCUUUCCACAGGUUCGAGUC